UAAUAUUCGAUUUAUCCGCUAGAGGAUUAAAUCUUUUAUUCAAAUCUUACAACUUAACAUUUUUUAUUAUAACACCCCAGUAGGGCCUCAAAAAGAGUUGUCAGGGGAGACAACUUACACUUGAAUAUGUCAUAUAUAAGGCAGAGCAAAUUCUGGGAACGGUCUUUCAAUCGUGGCUCACCAUAGAAGAGGUAGACUAGUUUAUCUUCGUUUAAAAAAUCUAAAAUUUACAUUUCAAAUCUUGAACCCCACCACAAACCCACCCAUUCAAUUUCAUUGUUUUUCUUUGUUUUUGCUUUCUUCCCUUUAUAUUUUCAGAUAACACUAUAUUAGCACGUCAUGGCUGGAACAGAAAGAUAGAAAAAGGAGAAUGCUUAUAAUUCUCAGCGACCGUUAUCGGAGCUGAUCAAUUUGUAAAACAGACAUGUAAAGUGAUUUCAUCAUCUGUACCUGUGUACCUCGAGUUGAAGCAUGUGCUACCACGUUUUUGCAACCGUUGCCGGGGCAAAAACAGUUAUAGUAAAGACAUUUAGUAGUCUUAAAUCGAAACACAUAGACAUUUCAAUAGGUUAAAUAAUUAAAAUGCUUUUAUCCAGCCAUGGCCAUUUUCAUGCCAACACGUUUUUGUUAAUAAAUACCAGUACGUUCUUUA